UCCAGACACGGUUUAGAGUGGAUAAAGGUUUCUCCAUGGAGACAUCUUACUUUCAGUGACUGAGGCACGGAAGCCCUCCUCUGGUACCCGGCCCCUCCGAUUCCACAAAAGAGCAAUAACUUCAAGCUCUUGUGGAUUCAGAGUUUUGCUGCAAGGAAAUUACACUGCUGGACUGUCUAUCGAUCUGGUCACCUAAGGUGAAGAAAAAAAAACAAGCUCAACAAAAAUUGUAUUCAAAGCUCCUGUGAUCAUUUUUCCCCUUUUGUGGCAGCAGGAGGACAGUGGGG